GCUUUUGUAUUAUAGGAUUUUGUUCAUGCACCAUGGUUGUCUGAACAUGCAGCAUGCUUGUCUGCUUAUAUAUACCCCAUGGUUCUUGAGCAGGAACUUUCAUUGUUUACUGUU
rnacentral:pre_miRNA from 1 species